CACAGAUUCUGGACAAGCUAAGAUGAUCAUGUAAACGAAACCAGCCACAAGAACACAAGAUCUACGAGUUGGUUCAUUCAGUUCGGUUCAGCGCGAAAUAUAGAUGGGGGAAAUUAAAAGAAGCUAAAAAAACACCAAACAACUGUGCUUCGUUUACAUACCGGAUCACAAGAUGUAUCACAAAACUGAUGGCUGAAAGUUUUAGCAUGUAAAGAGAUAACCUAGAUGGCAAAGCAAUACUACUUUACCUUGUUCCUCUCAAUCGUUCAGUCUCUUGGACUUGCAAUAUGAAGCUAGGAAAGGGAGCUCUACUCCUACUUUGGUUUCU
rnacentral:lncRNA from 1 species